GGGGAGAGCAGGGGAUCUUCGGACCUUGCGCUAUUGGAUAUGCCCGCGUCGGAUUAGCUAGUUGGUGAGGUAAUGGCUCACCAAGGCAACGAUCCGUAGCUGGGCUGAGAGGAUGAUCAGCCACACUGGGACUGAGACACGGCCCAGACUCCUACGGGAGGCAGCAGUGGGGAAUAUUGGACAAUGGGCGCAAGCCUGAUCCAG
rnacentral:rRNA from 1 species